GGUAUGUUAAGUAAGGAUCAACUCUAGGUCAUAUUUGCCAGUUAGAUAUAUUCUAAGAGUUGCCCAUGGAAUUAAUUAUUCAUAAUAUUUUUCUGAUUCUUGUAGAAAAUUUGGAAAAUGUAGUUUAGUUAUAAUGCUUUCACUUAGCAUUGCAUUGUAAACACAGUGUAUUAAAUAAAAAUAAGUGCUUAAAAGUUUUAAAGUUUUCAUACUUGAAAAUGGACCCAAAUGGAAAUAAAAUUUAAAUAGACGCUUGUACUCCAGUGAUGUUUUACUGGAAUAGCUGGAUGUAAGUUGAUCGGUUUAAGAAGUUAUCUACCCAAUUCAAGCUUGAAAACACUUCUCAAAAAUCAUUUGUAUAAAUAACAUUCUAUUACAUUUGAAAAUAUUAAAUCGGUCUCAGUAGAGUUUAACAUUUAUUGAGAAUUCAAUGAGAGCCAAGUUGUUCUUUGCCUUUCCUAUCUUCUCCAGUUCUUUUUGUCACAGGAUUGAGGAAAAUAAUUAGCCCCCUAUAGAGUCGUAAACUAAGAUCAGUUAGGGAGCAAUAUAUUAACUCCCAUUUAGUGCUCCUUCCCAAGUUCCAUUAGAAUCAUUAUUUGUCUUACACCCUGAUCCAGUGUGUUUGCGGGAUCCAUUUCAGUGUCACUCAAAUGCUGGUCUGUUUCACUUCCAUUUCCUGGAACGGUACAGGCUGUCCUUGUUUAUGUCCACAAUGCAUUCCUGGAAACCACACCAUAUAGGGAUCUGUGGUAACACAGGUCAUUUGCCUCUUAAGACUAGCGUCAUAACAGAAGGUCAUAGUCCUAAAUAAGGGACACAGAAACAAAUAAACUGUAACUAUUGCCAGCUGACUUACCAUAAAAACAAAGGUCCGAAAACAAGAUACAUCCAUAAUAAUUUAGAGUAAAAAUCAUACUUCACCUCUUAUAAAAUGAGCAAGAGGCUUCCAUCUACUUUGACAGUGGGUAACAUACCGAUAGCGCAUUACAAAAUGAAAUUCAGCUCUCCUACACUGACCACAAAUGAAUUUAAUAAGUUCAAUCAGCAUUAAUCUUCUCUUCCUUUCUAGAAUUUCAGAGGGGAGGAAAACUGGUUUUGAGGGGCCCUAGAUCUUUUUAAAAAAAAAGUAGAAAAUAAAAAAUACAAAAAAUCCACAAAUAUAUCUCCAUUUUUUUCCUCUAUAAAUACCUGCAUACAGUUAUUGAAAACCACUCCACAGAGUAGAAGGGAGAAUUUAGCAAAAGAUUUUAAAAAGAAUUAUAAGAAAACAGAUAAAAACAACAAUGGUAGGGACCUCUGCUGAAAAUAUCUUUUCCCUGUGACAUUUCCCAGUACCUCAACAUUUUCAAAGCUGCCUUCGUGGCUGUUCGGAGGCUACCACAUUGCUGCGAGGGUCUGACACCAUCUCCUUCCUGAUCCGUUGGCGCUGCCAUGCAGAUUUGUUUGCCUGCUCCGCACAAGAGGUUUUGGGUGGAUGAAAGCAUGAGGAAUGGAUGUGAGAGACGCCGUGAUGGUCUAGUCAGCAAAACUUGGAUAAACAUACAGGGCGGGGUAGAUUAAAAGUGUCUUCAAAUUCUUUGCUACUCUUUCCAUAGAAUCUUUCCGCUCACCUUGAAUCUCAGUGGUCUUAGUCACCUACUUGAUCAAUGUGGCAAAGGAUUCUGAUUGAUCCCCAUGGAGCUAGAAGUCCUAAGAAGUCUUAUGGCUUCCUCCUAGGCCUCCUGGAACACUCCUUUUUGUUAGUCAGCUUCUGUACUGUGAAGAAGCCUAAGAAACCCUGUGGAGAGGUCCACCUGGAGAGGAACAGAGGCCACCAAAUGACAGAUCUUUGGAGAACGAUGCAAGAUUCAAGAUUUUCUGUGAUGAUAUAUCUAACAACCCCUACACAGACUCAGCAUAAUCUCCUACAAUAGCGACCACAAAAACAAGCACACACAAAACCUUCUUUUUGGUCCUCUCUCCAUUUUUUGUCCAUCGGAUCCCAUAAUUAUUUACCUAAUUAUCCCACCUUUUCGGAGUCCAUUUUCCCAUUAUUUAGUAAAAGAAUUACACAUUCAUCGUAGCCACAUCUUCAACUGGACUAUGUUCUACAUAAAAUUAAAGAUGAUUUUCAAGGAAAAUAA